CCCUUCCAGUAAGGCACCCCC
rnacentral:miRNA from 1 species